GACGAACGCUGGCGGCGUCCUUAACACAUGCAAGUCGAACGGAGUGGCGAACGGGUGAGUAACACGGGGGACACCUGCCCUGCACUUCGGGAUCAGCCUGGGAAACUGGGUCUAAUAUCGGAAAGUGUGGGAUGGGACCGCGGCCUACCAGCUUGUUGGUGGGGUAAUGGACUACCAAGGCGGCGACGGGUAGCCGGCCCGGGAGGGUGGACGGCCACAUGGGGAGUGGGACACGGCCCAGACGCCUUCGGGAGGCAGCAGUGGGGAAUAUUGCACGAUGGGCGGAGGCCUGAUGCAGCGACGCCGAGUGGGGGAUGACGGCCCUCGGGUUGUAAACUCCUUUCACCAUCGACGCGGAAGAUGGAGAAUAAGCACCGGCUAACUACGUGCGAGCAGCCGCGGUAGUUC
rnacentral:rRNA from 1 species